GGUCAAUAUAUGUAAGCAGCUU
rnacentral:siRNA from 1 species